rnacentral:rRNA from 1 species
GAUGAACGCUAGCUACAGGCUUAACACAUGCAAGUCGAGGGGAAACGACAUCGAAAGCUUGCUUUUGAUGGGCGUCGACCGGCGCACGGGUGAGUAGCGCGUAUCCAACCUGCCCACCACUUGGGGAUAACCUUGCGAAAGUAAGACUAAUACCCAAUGAUAUCUCUAGAAGACAUCUGAAAGAGAUUAAGGAUUUAUCGGUGAUGGAUGGGGAUGCGUCUGAUUAGCUUGUUGGCGGGGUAACGGCCAACCAAGGCUACGAUCAGUAGGGGUUCGGGGAGGAAGGUCCCCCAGAUUGGAACUACGACACGGUCCAAACUCCGACGAGGGGCAGGAGUAAGGAAUAUUGGGCAAUGGACGAGGAUCUGAACCAGCCAAGUGGCGUGCAAAGUGACGGCCCUAGGAGUUGUAAACUGCUAUUAUAAGGGAAUAAAGUGAGUCUCGUGAGACUUUUUGCAUGUACCUUAUGAAUAAGGACCGGCUAAUUCCGUGCCAGCCGCCGCCGUAA